UACGAAGGGGGCUAGCGUUGCUCGGAAUGACUGGGCGUAAAGGGCGCGUAGGCGGAUGUUUAAGUCGGGGGUGAAAGCCCAGGGCUCAACCCUGGAAUUGCCUUCGAUACUGGACAUCUUGAGUACGGGAGAGGUGAGUGGAACUCCGAGUGUAGAGGUGAAAUUCGUAGAUAUUCGGAAGAACACCAGUGGCGAAGGCGACUCACUGGCCCGUUACUGACGCUGAUGCGCGAAAGCGUGGGGAGCAAACAGG
rnacentral:rRNA from 1 species